ensembl:lncRNA uncharacterized LOC115022051
AAGGGUGAGGCUAAUUGUAUAAUUUAAAUACUGCUGGAUUGUUUAAUACAUCACAAUUUCUUAGUUUUAUAUUUUGUUCCAAUAAUCUGAAUCUGCAAAGUCAGAUAAAUGUAGUGCAGUAAAAAGUGCAAUAUUUGCCUCUGCGUAGGGAGAAGAAGUAUGAAUGAGCAGACAAUGGAAGUAAAGUACAAUAACCUCAAAAUAAUUGACAUGAGUAAAUGUACAUUACUUUCCACUCCUGUGCAAUAUAACCUAAUCUUAAACGGUAGUCUCCAAAAUGGCAGCGUCGUGUAGAGCUAUUUUAUACAGUCUAUAGCUUACACUGACACUUAAAGUAUGAAUUUACAACAUUCACAUAGCAUAAACGAGAGAGAGUGACAAAACUGUGACAUUAUUCAUGAAACAUAGUCUAAAUGUGCCAUUUGAAUCAUUCAAACACUUGGUGGCGUUAACGCGCCAUUAAUUAUUUGGUCAAACAAGAAGAAGAAUCGACCAGCAGCAGACCUCUUCCACCGCGCGCAUCUUCAAGCAGGCUGUUGUCGAGCACAUCAAAACACACGGCACGAGCCAGUAUGUUACCAAGCCUGUGGCUGACAGCGAGUAUGAGGCAGAGGGCUUGGAGUCGUCAGUUCAUUCAUUGUCCAUAAGAGUAGAAUAUCAUCGGUCAUUUGAGUAUUGUCUGAAGUGGAAAAGAUCCAUGUAUCCCCGACGCUCCUCCAGCCGAUCGAAGGCCUCCAAGAGGAGCCCCCAGAGAAGUCCCAGCCCAACUGAAGAAGUUAUCCAGCGCAGGCUGAAGGGUAAGAGACAGAGGACAGGGAUGAAAAAGACCAAAACUGAUGAGUGGAGGGACCGCGACAUCAUCGACGUCAUCAACAGCACACGUGAUGCAAAAGGUGUCGCCGAGGAGGAUGAAGGAAAGUUUGUAGAGAUGACGGAUAAAGUGGACGAGUUGGAUGAAGACUGCGUCUCUGUCACCAGCAGCAUAGAUUCUGGUCCUUCCCUCCAACAUAACGCCUCUUCCAAGAAACUGUCGCCCUCACAGGGCUUGUGCUCAGCCUGUAGGACUCUCUACCAGAAGGCAAAGAAGAUGAAAACACAAAUGAAAGACAAACGCUUAGACAAUGAUCCCAAGUCCCUGACAUGUGACCAGUGGGUCCUGAUCAAGAGCUGGAGACCGAGGAGGCUGCCUAAUAUAAAAGGGAAGCUUUUGAUCGAUGUACAGCUGCUUAAGAAAAGGCUUAAGGUCAAGAAUGGUGCAAAGCGAUUUGCGCAAUGUGUGAGAGAGGGAGAAUCAUCAGCCUGCUCCAGGCCGCACUCUUUCCUUGAGAGGAACCUUAGACGCCAUGUCACAGGGCCAGUGAAAAGGGAGAUGAAGAACAGGAGGAAGAGGACAAGAGAUGGAUCUCAGGGUCCUCGCGUCGCUAAGCAGCAGCGUCUCCACAGCAACAAUCGCCUCCAAAACAUCAGUAUUAGCAGCAUCGAUGAGAGCGGCCUUCCCUCGCCCAGCUGUCCCAGUAGCAGUCCUGGUUUUGAGGAUCAGCAAGAUGAAGAAGAUGACAUACAUCUGACUGAGUUGAUCCCCACCACAGUCUCCCUGGAAAUCACGAAGCCAAGAAAACUCCGACCCAAUCAGAAAGCACCACAGAAGACGGGAGGAUUCAGAGACUUGCUUGCCCAGCUGCGUGGAAACAGCAGCAUGAUCGUGAAAGAAACACGUUUGCGAGGCGACUGCGUUUAACAGCUGCGGUAUUCAGAGAAGUCUUCCAGCUCUGCUUUUACUUGUGAUGUUUGUUGUUUAGUCUGCUUAUUAUUCUGUUCUGAAUUCCAGACUAAAUACUUGUUCCUGUUGAAUUUAUUGGAAAAGUUUUGCUGCAGUUACACAUACUUGUUGUUUUGUUUUUUUUCUUGAAUUUCAAAAUAGCAUUUUAUUUAUCAGUACAACUGUGAAUAAAUGAGUGUUUUACUUUAAUGCUGCUUUAACUGUACCCCUAUGAUGGAUAGAUGUAAUAUUUCCAUCACAUGUAGACCUACAUGAGCACUUUCAGUAAGACGAUCACAUACUAAUUCAAUGCAGCUUUUGAGUGUGUGGUGGCUUCACUGAAAAGUGAAAAAAUAAAGUAGUCUAAAAAAAAAGUCAAUUUGUCUUGGUGUUGUAGCACAUGCAAGUCGAGUUUGAUGUCCUAUUGCUUAUUACACAAAUCAAAUCAAAUUUAUUUGUAUAGCCC